ACCAUUUGCUAGUUGGUUAGAGCAUCCGGCUCAUAACCGGACGGUCCUGGGUUCGAGUCCCCGAUGGCCCACCA
rnacentral:tRNA from 1 species